UACUUCUUUUUGAUGUCUCUGACUAUCAGUUAAAUGCCCAAAUUCUCAGUUAUUACAUAUAGCAAUGAAUUAUGUACUCUUUGGUGAAAACAUAUCUUUUUUUUUUUUUGAGAUGUCAUGAAAACAUAUCAUGUAACUGUAAAAAUGCUUUGGGACUUACAGAAGAGAAACAUUCAGCUGGCAUGAAAUGUAUUAUUGCAAGCAGGCAUCCUACGACCUGUGCAUGACCUUGCUGUCAGCCAAGCCUCAUGUCUAUUUUUGUUUGUUCCUCUGCUCAGGUUUGUCUGUCUUACCUAGUUAGGAAAAACAUGAAAAUGUGUAGUUUAAAUCCUGUUCGUCACAUCCUCCGACACCGCACACACUCCAACAAUGCCAUCCUGUUCCUAUUGGUUUUAUAUGAAUUUAAGAAUCAACAUAAGGUAACAAUGAGAUGAAGUAUAUAUUGUAUCCGUUGCAAAAAAGACAUAUCAAUUUACACACCUGAGUUUACAGCAACCAUAUAUAAUUAUAUACAAUUAAGUAGUCACCCUAUUAAGCAACUAACUGAAAAUAAGCAACAAACUUAAGUCCUUAUGUUUGACUGUUAGUACUAUAUUUAGCAACAUCAGCAAGCAAAAUCAUGUACGUUUUGUAAGAGCAUUGCUUAUAAGCAGAUGAAGGAAUCUUAGUAGUGCUAAAUUGUUAAGAUUUUUUGUACAGAAAUAAAGCACUGUAAGCAGCACAAUGAAUUUCACAUGUAAUCUGAAUCUGCGCCUACCUUUUCUAAAGAUUGCAUUCUGUUUUCAGAUACAUCAAUAAUUUCUGAUACAUAAGUAAAAAAUCCAGCCAUGUAGGUCCACAAAAAUAUGUAAUUAGUCAUAAAACCUAACAAUUUCUUCUUUGAAAACCAUACAUAGAGUAAAACAGAAUUACUGUAAGGUUUCUUGCACUAAAGAAUCUUCUUGUGAACAAUAUUUUCUCUCUCUUCAGCUUAGAUUAGGUCUGUAAGUCCAUCUAUAAUACAACAGUAUUUUAAUGUAGCAUGUAGGUCUGCAAAUAUAUAUGAUUAAUAAAAACAAUCUCGGACAUAAGAUGGCUCUUUCUUCAAGGUAUUUUAGAUUUGUGUUGUUAGUCCAUAGGUGUUGAUGAUUUUUUUUCCAACUGGUUUACUCCUUUCUGCAGAAGUAAAUUUUCAGGUAUAUGUACCCAUUCCUCAUCUUCAUGAUUAUACCCUAUCAACCCAUCGCCAAUGUUUAGAAUCUACUCCGCAAAUUAUGCAGUCUUCCGGUGUUGCUCCGGAGUAUCUAUUGGUGCAGUAACACGCAUGUUCUGAUUGAGCUUGUAUUUCUCGAAGUGCUUCCAUAGGUAUAGAUACAAUUUUUUGAUUAUCGGGGGGAGCCCGACCAUUUGCUCAUCUUGAGAGUGCAAUCUCUGUAAGGAAGGUUGUCGAUGAUGAAGUUCAAAUCCAAUCUUAUAUGCAGAGGAUAAAGAAUCAUGCCUUCAAGAAACACCACAAAGCAAAAGGAUAAUAGAAGUACUGGGGACAUGAUCUCCCAGUACCAAGUGGAUCUCAUUAAGGGAAGUACAAGUACUAAUACAGUCCCUUGUGAUUACUCGAUGUUCUUUUCUCCCUUGACAUGUUUAUUAGAUUCAAACGCAGUGUUAACUUCAUGUGGUGCUGUGUGUGCAUGCAAGAAGCAAGUAUACUUACAGGAGAUCUGGGUAAUCUGAGAGACUCGAUGGAUCACCGUGCCACCGCUUCAAGUUGUUGAUGACGCUGUGUUGAGGUGCGAGCCACAAGGAGGAGAUGACUGGUAUCUUCCAGCCUUGUCAUCCUGGCGUCUUUCUUUCCGCUGCGUCCGUCGACGGGCGCCGAUAUAUCAAGGAAGGAGGAACGAUGGGACUGGGAUAUCGCUGGGCAGUCGUACAAUGACAUGCCGGCGGCGAGGGUAGGGUUUUGAGAUGGGUUUUGAUCUCGUUUUCUUUUGCGGGAUACAUGCAGAUGAAGUUUUCACGGCAAGACUGGUUGAGAGGCACUUGUUUUAUUUACGGAGUACAUGUUUUGUUUGACCGAUGCACCUUUUUUUCUUGAACAUAUGUCUGUACAUGUCUAAUGCCCACCACGUUAUAUUUGUUGACUUCUACAUCUUUUUCUCUUGAACGUAUGUCCGUGUACAUGUUACACGUUAAAUA